AUGGACUCUUGUCUUCCGGUGACGGUGUCCAACCAACGAAGCAGACGAAGAGCUUCACCUGCCUUGUAAGAUGUAUUGCGUUUUGGAUAUACAGGACAGCAGGACAUACUUACAUAUGCAGCAUAAACAUUCUCCGUGCAUAUACGAGGAAUGCUGCUGAAGUGACAGUCCUUUGCCGAAUAUAAAUCCGGGUCGUUCCGGUUACGUAGAACCGACUGUCGUGCGAACGACACACACCCAGUCGAGUCAGCUUCUUUCCUGUACCUUCCUGAUGUAACUUUGAUUCCGAUUUGUAGUAUACGAAAUUUGUACUUUUUUGUUGAUGAAAUUGAUAAACUUUAUUCGUAAUAAAAUAAAAUACAUAGUCGCUUUGAAAAUUGCGAUUAUAUUUUACAAUUAA